UGCGUAGGUGGUCGGGUAAGUCUGAUGUGAAAUCUCCGAGCUCAACUCGGAAAUGGCAUUGGAUACUAUUCGGCUGGAGGGUUGGAGGGGGGACUGGAAUACUUGGUGUAGCAGUGAAAUGCGUAGAUAUCAAGUGGAACACCAGUGGCGAAGGCGAGUCCCUGGACAACUCCUGACACUGAGGCACGAAAGCUAGGGAGCAAACA
rnacentral:rRNA from 1 species